CGCGUGGGUGAAGAAGGCCUUCGGGUUGUAGCCCUUUCUGUAGGGAGGAAAGGUGAGUGUUAAUAGCACAUUGCUGUGACGUUACCUACAGAAGAAGGACCGGCUAACUCCGUGCCUAGCAGCCGCGGUAAUACGGAGGGUGCGAGCGUUAAUCGGAAUUACUGGGCGUAAAGCGUGCGCAGGCGGUUUGUUAAGCUCAGAUGUGAAAUCCCCGGGCCCAACCUCGGAAUUGCAUUUGGAACUGGCGRACUAGAGUCUUGUAGAGGGGGGUAGAACCCAGUUUUCGGUGAAAUGCGUAGAUAUCGGGAGGAACCCCUYUUGCGAAGGCCGCCUCCU
rnacentral:rRNA from 1 species